rnacentral:rRNA from 1 species
UACGUAGGGGGCGAGCGUUGUCCGGAUUUAUUGGGCGUAAAAGAGCUCGUAGGCGGUUGGGUAAGUCGGGUGUGAAAACUCAGGCUCAACUCUGAGACGCCACUCGAUACUGCUCUGACUCGAGUCCGGUAGGGGAGCGUGGAAUUCCCGGUGUAGCGGUGAAAUGCGUAGAGUAUCGAAGAGGAACACCUGCGGCGAAAGGGCGGGGAUUGCCUUGGGGCUGAAGUGAUCUGACGCUGGAGGCGCGAAAGCCAGGGGAGCGAACGGGGAAUUAGAAACCCCCGUGGUAGUCCAAGACCGAAAUGUACCUCUGCCUACCGUA